GAAAACGGUGUUUCAUAGCUAUAAAGACUCUUAUACUGAUCAGUGCCAUUUAGAGUUAUAAAAUAAUUUUAUUAAAUUGUGUUAGCUAAUCUGAGAAUGCCGCGCAAAAGCGUACGUAACGAUUAAGAGAAAGGCUUUGAAUGGUGAGGGUUUGACCAAUCGAGUUAUUGCUCUGAAUUUGGGAAGGUCGGUAAUAGUGGUUGGAGAAAUUUGUGGACAAUUAUCAAAUAAAACGACGCCAAUGCGGAAAGUGAAAAAAGACAACCAAAUUUCUGCAUCUGUAUCAACAAUUUGGUGUGCGGUGAAACGAACUUUUAACAUUGUACGUGAGCAAAUGCAGAAAGCACCUCUUUUGAAACCACACCACAAAGUCUAUCGUCUCAGUUUUGUCUGAAAUCACAUGAAUAAAGAAUGGCAUCAGGUGAUUUUUUCGAUGAGUAAAAGUUCAAUCUUGGUGGUCCAAAGGGCUUUUUGGGAUACUAGAGAGAUUUAUGAAAAGAGCCGCAAUAUUUUUCAAAGCGCAGUUUCGGCGGAGGCACAUUUAUGGUAAUAGGCGCAUUCUAAAAUUCUGGGACAGUACCAUUGGCAUUCCCUUCUUACCGAAUGAAUAGUUCCGAGUACCAGGAAGUAUUAGAAGCAAAUCUGUUACCCUAUAUAUAGUACACAGAGAUCCGCAAAAAUAUUUCUCUUUUCAAAAAGACAACACAAAAAUCCAUACGAGCAGGUCAACGAUAACGUGGCUUCAAUGUAAAAAUAUCAAUAUUUUGGAAUGGCCAGCUUGUUCUCCUGAAGAAAGUCCUAUUGAGAACAUCUUGGAAUGGCUGGCAAGAGAGGUUUAAGAGGAUUACCGUAAAUUCAAUACGAUUUCGAAGCUGAAAACGGCUAUUUUGAAAAAUGGGCUUAAUUGACCCCGGAAAUGCUUUCUCAUUACACCAACUCAAUGCCAAAUUGAAUAUUCGU